UACAGAGGUCCCAAGCGUUGUUCGGAUUCAUUGGGCGUAAAGGGUGCGUAGGUGGCUCUCUAAGUUGGAUGUGAAAACUCUGGGCUCAACCCAGAGCCUGCAUCCAAAACUGGAGAGCUAGGGUUCUGGAGGGGAAAGCGGAAUUCCUGGUGUAGCGGUGAAAUGCGUAGAUAUCAGGAGGAACACCGGUGGCGAAGGCGGCUUUCUGGACAGAUACCGACGCUGAGGCACGAAAGCUAGGGGAGCAAACAGG
rnacentral:rRNA from 1 species